CAGGGCUUGACAAUGUGUCCAAUUCACUUGAUGUAAAUACGGCGGUGAAGUUAGUUUCAGGUUGGAUAUAUUUUCCUGUAAAUACGGCGGUGAAGUUAGUUUCAGGUUGGAUAUAUUUUCCUGUAAAUAUGGCGGUGAAGUUAGUUUCAGGUUGGAUAUAUUUUCCUGUAAAUACUGCGGUGAAGUUAGUUUCAGGUUGGAUAUAUUUUCCUGUAAAUAUGGCGGUGAAGUUAGUUUCAGGUUGGAUAUAUUUUCCUGUAAAUACGGCGGUGAAGUUAGUUUCAGGUUGGAUAUAUUUUCCUGUAAAUACGGCGGUGAAGUUAGUUUUAGGUUGGAUAUAUUUUCCUGUAAAUACGGCGGUGAAGUUAGUUUUAGGUUGGAUAUAUUUUUCUGUAAAUACGGCGGUGAAGUUAGUUUCAGGUUGGAUAUAUUUUCCUGUAAAUACUUCGGUGAAGUUAGUUUCAGGUUGGAUAUCUGACGGACAUUCUCUGAGGAUCUACCGGUGUCUUCUCACUCUCCAUAACCGGGAAUAACAACAGCAGCGCGGUUAAAUCUACUCGACACCCUCACUGUCAACGUCGGUGUUGAAUAAGGGACCGUCAAUAAAUUAC